rnacentral:lncRNA from 1 species
UUGGGUUGUUACCAAAAUUACCUUUUGUAAAAGACAACUUAAGUAAAAACCAAAUUCAAAUGUCAGAUACAUGUUAUUAUACAUUUAUCAAAACCCAUGAAAUAAACAACACCAAAAGUGAACUUUCAUGUAAACUACUGACUUUGAGUGAUAAUGAUUUGUCAACGAAGGCUCAUCAGUUGUAACAAAUGUACCAUUAUGGUGACCCAAAUUGAUAGUGGGGAAGGAUGUGUUUGCAGGACAGGAGGUUAUGGGAGCUUUCUGCAUUUUCUGCUCAAUUUUGCUGCAAACUCAAAACUGCUCCAAAAAAUGUAAGUCGAUUUAAAACAUUCAUCACAGAAGGUAGUGCGUGUUAGUGCCGAGGGUUAAUUUCGUUUUCUGGCUAUCUGUGGUUGAAGCCUAAACUUCUGUUUAUACCUUUGUGAUGUGUUUCAAGUUUUUCUAAAAUGCAUUAGCCCUGGUGCUAGGCAUGGUGGCUCCCACACAUGAGUACAGGGGACUCAUUUUCCCCAGAGUCCCACAAAUAGGACUAGGGACAAAGAGGGAGAUUGUCCUGACGAUGAUGCCCCCAAGGAGGCAUACCCUGUAUAUUGCUUUCCAGACUAAUCCUUUGGCACAGGUGUACUAUGUUGCUUUUUCUUUUCUUUUCUUUUCUUUUUUCUUUUUUUUUUUUUUUGCCUUUUUCUUGUAGAUGCUGUGGUUGGAGAAAAAAGGAGAAACCCCAGUUGACCUUUUCUGAGGGCUGCUGGUUCUUGAGUCUCUGGUAAUUAAGUCCUGACCUUACCAAGGGUUUAGCUGCAUGUGAUAACAUGUGACCAUUAUCAAACUGACCAGCUUUAUCCUCAGGUUUUCAUACAAGAAAACAAUAUUUCAAAGGUCAAAGCAAUUACUGGGAUUUUCAGAACACUUUUUAUUUAAGGCUCAUGAGCAUGUUAGGGCAGAAUGUGAUUGUCUGCUGUAGUUUGGGCAGCACUGAUUGGCAAAGGAAAGGAUGGGCCAGGUGAAUGGUGCCCUGCAGAGAGGACUCUUAUAUGAAGAAGAUGCCUAUUUCUUCCAAACCGGGCAGAGCAGAUGGGAAAUCUCUAGGAAUAAGAUGCAGCAGGAUGGACGCAGAGAGGGACCCUGCUGUGGUCACUCAAGUCCUCAACACACUCUGGCAUGCAUCCUCCUUCCUCAAAGAGCACUCAGCGUUCGGCCCAUGGUUAACAGAAACUUCCUGAUGCAUGCCUUUCCGUGACAAGAUCAGGGGAUAUCAGGGUGAUGGCAACACUGAAGGAUGAUGGGGCAUCACAUCGGUCUAUCAGUAUGGUUAUUUGUGUCUAAGACGUUCAUUCAGUGUGCCAUGAUCCAAGUUAUGCUGGGAAUACAAAUUCAAAUAGGACAUGCAACCACGUUCAGUCAGUUUACAAUCUCACUUUAUACAUCAUCCGUCUUGAGAGAAGCAGAAAGAAAGCAGACAUAUCUUCACCAGGCUCAGUUCCCGUGUUCUGCCAGAACGCACAGCUGCCGCCCUGUCUGCCCUGUUGCUCUGCCUUUGACCUCAGGGCUGACAUGAAUCAUCUCUUUGACUCCACAGGAACCAGUGAAGCAGCCACAAAUGUCAUCCUUAGCUUGUAGGCAGGGAACCUGCGCCAUCCUUCGACGCCUGCAGAUUCCAUGAAAAGAAAACAAAUAUUGAAUGCACAACUUUUUUUUCUUCCUUUGAAAAACAAAAUGUCAGCAGCUCAGCACCGGAUCCCAGGAACGCUUCAAUCACAUUCCAGAAUUUGUUCAUCAUGAGGGGUUCAGGGAUGGAAUUCAUGGAGGAAUGUUUUUUCCUUUCCCCUUGCUUAAAGGAUCUGA